UACGAAGGGUGCAAGCGUUACUCGGAAUUACUGGGCGUAAAGCGUGCGUAGGUGGUUUGUUAAGUCUGUUGUGAAAGCCCCCGGCUCAACUGGGGAGGGUCACUCGAUACUGAUCGACUUGAAGGCAGGAGAGGGAAGCGGAAUUCCCGGUGUAGUGGUGAAAUGCGUAGAUAUCGGGAGGAACACCAGUGGCGAAGGCGGCUUCCUGGCCUGUUCUUGACGCUGAGGCGCGAAAGCUAGGGGAGCAAACGGG
rnacentral:rRNA from 1 species